GAAAUACUAUCCAACCAUUAGACUCAUGAUCUUGACAUGGAUCCAAGAUGCUGGUAACUAGGCAGGACGGAUUGUUACACAGAACUGCAGGUUUCUGGAUGGAGACUCAGUGCCAUGUCACAAAUACUUCAGAUGCUAGAAUGAAAGUUACCGAAAGAGCAAUAGACUUUCCAAUCUCUACAUUCAUCUUAACUGUUUUUCAAAGUGAUACUUGAGACUACCAAAGACUUUUCAAGGACAGAAUUCACAAAACAGUUUAUGCCACCAUCUCAUAUCAAAGGAUUGUGCUUGAGUUGAACAGCCUUCAAACAGAAACUGUUUCAACACCUUCAAUGGAUUCAUUCUGAUUCAGUUUACCCUUGCUGUGAUCUGAGCAACUAUUUACAUCAGUUCAACAUUGUAAAUUGUUUAAACUUGAAAAUUCUGUCUUCGUGCAACUCACAUGAAUCUAUUUACUGUGGACUUUGAUGUUGACUCUAUACAGGAAGAAGAGACCAUCUUUAUACAUGCUGGCAUAUCUUUUAAAAAGGAAACAAAUAUUA